rnacentral:pre_miRNA from 1 species
GAGCUCUAAGGUAGCUGGGAUACAGUGAGAUCCCAGCUACCUUAGAGCUCACUGUAUCCCAGCUACCUUAGAGCUC